rnacentral:lncRNA from 1 species
CUGGGUUAGGGUGUGUGUCUUUAAUUCCUCUAGCGCCGCUGGGUUAGGGUCUCCCUGACUGAGCUGGCACCCAACGUGGGGCUCGAAUCCAGGUUGAAGGGUUGCCAGAGUGACAGUUGGAGAAUGUGGAAAUAGCUGGAGGACACCCGAGUACUCUUAAAGCAAUCCCCAUGAGCCAGGAGAGUGUAUGGCACAGCUCCUGAUUGUGCCAUAUGUGGGAAUGGGAAAAAGUGAAAUUAAAUGAACAGGAGGAUUUGGAAGCACAAAUAAACAAGGCAAAGCAGCUUAUUG